rnacentral:rRNA from 1 species
AACCGUGGUAAUUCUAGAGCUAAUACAUGCUGAAAGCCCCAACUCCGGAAGGGGUGUAUUUAUUAGAUAAAAAACCAAUGCCCUUCGGGGCUCCUUGGUGAUUCAUAAUAACUCAACGAAUCGCAUGGCCUUGCGCUGGCGAUGGUUCAUUCAAAUUUCUGCCCUAUCAACUUUCGAUGGUAGGAUAGUGGCCUACCAUGGUCUCAACGGGUAACGGGGAAUUAGGGUUCUAUUCCGGAGAGGGAGCCUGAGAAGCGGCUACCACAUCCAAGGAAGGCAGCAGGCGCGCAAAUUACCCAAUCCCAAUACGGGGAGGUAGUGACAAUAAAUACUGAUACAGGGCUCUUUCGGGUCUUGUAAUUGGAAUGAGUACAAUCUAAAUCCCUUAACGAGGAACAAUUGGAGGGCAAGUCUGGUGCCAGCAGCCGCGGUAAUUCCAGCUCCAAUAGCGCAUAUUAAAGUUGUUGCAGUUAAAAAGCUCGUAGUUGAACCUUGGGCCUGGCUGAUCUGUCUUCCUAACCGUUGUACGGAUUCGGUCGGGCCUUUCCUUCUGGGGAAUCCUAUGCCCUUUAUUGGGUGUAGUGGGGAACCAGGACUUUUACCUUGAAAAAAUUAGAGUGUUCAAAGCAGGCCUUUGCUCGAAUACAUUAGCAUGGAAUAAUGAAAUAGGACAGUGGUUCUAUUUUGUUGGUUUCUAGGACCGCUGUAAUGAUUAAUAGGGAUAGUCGGGGGCGUCAGUAUUCAAUUGUCAGAGGUGAAAUUCUUGGAUUUAUUGAAGACUAACUAUUGCGAAAGCAUUCGCCAAGGAUGUUUUCAUUAAUCAGUGAACGAAAGUUAGGGGAUCGAAGACGAUCAGAUACCGUCGUAGUCUUAACCAUAAACUAUGCCGACUAGGGAUCGGACGGUGUUUUUUUAUAUGACCCGUUCGGCACCUUACGAGAAAUCAAAGUUUUUGGGCUCUGGGGGGAGUAUGGUCGCAAGGCUGAAACUUAAAGAAAUUGACGGAAGGGCACCACAAGGCGUAAACGUUGCAGUCACUCUGCGCCUGCUGAUGAACUCUGCAAUGAUUUCAUCGUGUUCGUCCGUCCGGGACGUGCAGUAUACCUAGAUUGUGGGGAUCCCUUGACGGUGACCUGCAGCUCACGGGAGAGUGAGUUCAGAGAUUAGAUAGGUAGAGAAGGUUCGCCUUUUAAGCUAUAAUCCAACCCAAGUCUUGGUUGACUUGGGCCCCUGUGGGAGCCUGCGGCUUAAUUUGACUCAACACGGGAAAGCUCACCAGGUCCAGACAUAAGAAGGAUUGACAGAUUGAGAGCUCUUUCUUGAUUUUAUGGGUGGUGGUAAAACGUCCUUGUGCCACACACAGCGACACGGGUCACCCACCGUUGAAAUAUAGCUAGUCCACCUCCCGUGGGCAACAUUCUUCCGUUGCUGAGAAUUGCACCUCUGGGUCAUUAUCAGCGGCCACACGUUCCGUUGAAGGUGUGGUUCACAGACUAGGCUAGAGUGGACUGAUGCUCGGUUGAAGAUAUAGUCGCGCCCUUUGCAGAGAUGCAUCUGUGUUUGCGGCAUGGCCGUUCUUAGUUGGUG